rnacentral:sRNA from 2 species
AUAUCUCUCCGUACGGGAAGGAUGAGAAGCUUCGACCAAGGUUCGAUUCGAGCGCAGCGAGAAAGCGUUGCCGCAGGCAACGACC